rnacentral:tRNA from 3 species
UGGUAGCUCAAUGGUGGAGCACUCGGCUGUUAACCGAUAGGUUGGAGGUUCGAAUCCUCUC